rnacentral:rRNA from 1 species
UACGAAGGGUGCAAACGUUGCUCGGAAUUAUUGGGCGUAAAGCGCACGUAGGCGGCAUCGCAAGUCCCAUGUGAAAGCCCACGGCUUAACCGUGGAAGUGCAUGGGAAACUGCAGUGCUUGAGUACUUAAGAGGAUCGCGGAAUUCCCGGUGUAGAGGUGAAAUUCGUAGAUAUCGGGAGGAACACCAGUGGCGAAGGCGGCGAUCUGGGAAGAUACUGACGCUGAGGUGCGAAAGCGUGGGGAGCAAACGGG